GACCCGAAACCCGGUGAUCUAGCCAUGGGCAGGUUGAAGGUUGGGUAACACUAACUGGAGGACCGAACCGACUAAUGUUGAAAAAUUAGCGGAUGACUUGUGGCUGGGGGUGAAAGGCCAAUCAAACCGGGAGAUAGCUGGUUCUCCCCGAAAGCUAUUUAGGUAGCGCCUCGUGAAUUCAUCUCCGGGGGUAGAGCACUGUUUCGGCAAGGGGGUCAUCCCGACUUACCAACCCGAUGCAAACUGCGAAUACCGGAGAAUGUUAUCACGGGAGACACACGGCGGGUGCUAACGUCCGUCGUGAAGAGGGAAACAACCCAGACCGCCAGCUAAGGUCCCAAAGUCAUGGUUAAGUGGGAAACGAUGUGGGAAGGCCCAGACAGCCAGGAUGUUGGCUUAGAAGCAGCCAUCAUUUAAAGAAAGCGUAAUAGCUCACUGGUCGAGUCGGCCUGCGCGGAAGAUGUAACGGGGCUAAACCAUGCACCGAAGCUGCGGCAGCGACGCUUAUGCGUUGUUGGGUAGGGGAGCGUUCUGUAAGCCUGCGAAGGUGUGCUGUGAGGCAUGCUGGAGGUAUCAGAAGUGCGAAUGCUGACAUAAGUAACGAUAAAGCGGGUGAAAAGCCCGCUCGCCGGAAGACCAAGGGUUCCUGUCCAACGUUAAUCGGGGCAGGGUGAGUCGACCCCUAAGGCGAGGCCGAAAGGCGUAGUCGAUGGGAAACAGGUUAAUAUUCCUGUACUUGGUGUUACUGCGAAGGGGGGACGGAGAAGGCUAUGUUGGCCGGGCGACGGUUGUCCCGGUUUAAGCGUGUAGGCUGGUUUUCCAGGCAAAUCCGGAAAAUCAAGGCUGAGGCGUGAUGACGAGGCACUACGGUGCUGAAGCAACAAAUGCCCUGCUUCCAGGAAAAGCCUCUAAGCAUCAGGUAACAUCAAAUCGUACCCCAAACCGACACAGGUGGUCAGGUAGAGAAUACCAAGGCGCUUGAGAGAACUCGGGUGAAGGAACUAGGCAAAAUGGUGCCGUAACUUCGGGAGAAGGCACGCUGAUAUGUAGGUGAAGUCCCUUGCGGAUGGAGCUGAAAUCAGUCGAAGAUACCAGCUGGCUGCAACUGUUUAUUAAAAACACAGCACUGUGCAAACACGAAAGUGGACGUAUACGGUGUGACGCCUGCCCGGUGCCGGAAGGUUAAUUGAUGGGGUCAGCGCAAGCGAAGCUCUUGAUCGAAGCCCCGGUAAACGGCGGCCGUAACUAUAACGGUCCUAAGGUAGCGAAAUUCCUUGUCGGGUAAGUUCCGACCUGCACGAAUGGCGUAAUGAUGGCCAGGCUGUCUCCACCCGAGACUCAGUGAAAUUGAACUCGCUGUGAAGAUGCAGUGUACCCGCGGCAAGACGGAAAGACCCCGUGAACCUUUACUAUAGCUUGACACUGAACAUUGAGCCUUGAUGUGUAGGAUAGGUGGGAGGCUUUGAAGUGUGGACGCCAGUCUGCAUGGAGCCGGCCUUGAAAUACCACCCUUUAAUGUUUGAUGUUCUAACGUGGACCCGUGAUCCGGGUUGCGGACAGUGUCUGGUGGGUAGUUUGACUGGGGCGGUCUCCUCCUAAAGAGUAACGGAGGAGCACGAAGGUUGGCUAAUCCUGGUCGGACAUCAGGAGGUUAGUGCAAUGGCAUAAGCCAGCUUGACUGCGAGCGUGACGGCGCGAGCAGGUGCGAAAGCAGGUCAUAGUGAUCCGGUGGUUCUGAAUGGAAGGGCCAUCGCUCAACGGAUAAAAGGUACUCCGGGGAUAACAGGCUGAUACCGCCCAAGAGUUCAUAUCGACGGCGGUGUUUGGCACCUCGAUGUCGGCUCAUCACAUCCUGGGGCUGAAGUAGGUCCCAAGGGUAUGGCUGUUCGCCAUUUAAAGUGGUACGCGAGCUGGGUUUAGAACGUCGUGAGACAGUUCGGUCCCUAUCUGCCGUGGGCGCUGGAGAACUGAGGGGGGCUGCUCCUAGUACGAGAGGACCGGAGUGGACGCAUCACUGGUGUUCGGGUUGUCAUGCCAAUGGCACUGCCCGGUAGCUAAAUGCGGAAGAGAUAAGUGCUGAAAGCAUCUAAGCACGAAACUUGCCCCGAGAUGAGUUCUCCCUGACCCUUUAAGGGUCCUGAAGGAACGUUGAAGACGACGACGUUGAUAGGCCGGGUGUGUAAGCGCAGCGAUGCGUUGAGCUAACCGGUACUAAUGAACCGUGAGGCUUAACCUUACAACGCCGAAG
rnacentral:rRNA from 1 species